rnacentral:lncRNA from 1 species
AAGGCCAAGGCUAAGGACGAGGCCGAGGCAUAUAUUGAUUCCUAUCGUCCAUGUUUUUCUUUCCUUUUUUCUCACUUUUAUCAAAAUAUUGAGGAUAAUGUUUGGUUUAAGUGUGGGAGAGGAACUUUAUUACUUUCAUUUUUAUUGUUUUCUAGUUAGAUUUAUUAUUUUAAAUUUAUUUUAUAUUUUAUCUGUUUUUACUUUUUAGUAC